rnacentral:rRNA from 1 species
UUAAAUUGAAGAGUUUGAUCAUGGCUCAGAUUGAACGCUGGCGGCAGGCCUAACACAUGCAAGUCGAACGGUAACAGGAAGAAGCUUGCUUCUUUGCUGACGAGUGGCGGUCAGGUGAGUAGUGUCUGGAAAACUGAAUGAGGGACGGGUCUAACUCCUG